GUCUUGUUAGCUUAGUUGGUAGUGCGUCUGCCUUGUAAGCGCUAGGCCGCGGGUUCGAUUCCCGCCCCGGGCG
rfam:Asian citrus Psyllid, Diaphorina citri - Florida Strain, whole genome shotgun sequence.